rnacentral:sRNA from 2 species
AAUGAAACAACUCCGAAUAUCUUUCAGGUAGUGGGGGAACCAAUCUAAGGGGUGAAUCUUAUUUUAAGAGGGGCAGCUUGGAUGCCCUAAUCCGUCAGCUAAUCCCAUAGGAGUAUACCAAGCGAAUGA